rnacentral:rRNA from 1 species
GACGAACGCUGGCGGCGUGCUUAACACAUGCAAGUCGAGCGGUAAGGCCCUUUCGGGGGUAUACGAGCGGCGAACGGGUGAGUAACACGUGAGCAACCUGCCCUUCUCUUUGGAAUAAGCGUUGGAAACGACGUCUAAUGACGAAUAUGACCCCCUGUCGCAUGGUGGGGGGUGGAAAGCUCUGGCGGAGAAGGAUGGGCUCGCGGCCUAUCAGCUUGUUGGUGUGGGUAAUGGCCCACCAAGGCGACGACGGGUAGCCGGCCUGAGAGGGUGACCGGCCACACUGGGACUGAGACGCGGCCCAGACUCCUACGGGAGGCAGCAGUGGGGAAUAUUGGACAAUGGGCGAAAGCCUGAUCCAGCAACGCCGCGUGAGGGAUGACGGCCUUCGGGUUGUAAACCUCUUUCAGCAGGGACGAAGCGAGAGUGACGGUACCUGCAGAAGAAGGACCGGCCAACUACGUGCCAGCCGCCGCCGUAA